UACGUAGGGUGCGAGCGUUGUCCGGAAUUAUUGGGCGUAAAGAGCUCGUAGGCGGUCUGUCGCGUCGAUCGUGAAAACUUGGGGCUUAACCCUGAGCUUGCGGUCGAUACGGGCAUGACUGGAGUUCGGCAGGGGAGACUGGAAUUCCUGGUGUAGCGGUGAAAUGCGCAGAUAUCGGGUGGAACACCGGUGGCGAAGGCGGUUCUCUGGGCCUUACCUGACGCUGAGGAGCGAAAGCGUGGGGAGCGAACAGG
rnacentral:rRNA from 1 species